UACGUAGGGUGCGAGCGUUGUCCGGAAUUAUUGGGCGUAAAGGGCUCGUAGGCGGUUUGUCGCGUCGGGGAGUGAAAACACACAGCUUAACUGUGUGCUUGCUUCCGAUACGGGCAGACUAGAGGUAUGCAGGGGAGAACGGAAUUCCUGGUGUAGCGGUGAAAUGCGCAGAUAUCAGGAGGAACACCGGUGGCGAAGGCGGAUCUCUGGGCCAUUACUGACGCUGAGGAGCGAAAGCGUGGGGAGCGAACAGG
rnacentral:rRNA from 1 species